rnacentral:snoRNA from 1 species
UCCAAGAUGAACUUCGCACCAAAUAGCAUAGUUCACACUGAAUCUUUCGUGUUGAUACACAUGCAUCUUAUGUCUUUCGCUCCUAUCUGA